rfam:Gossypium hirsutum cultivar TM-1 chromosome 4, whole genome shotgun sequence
UGUUAAAAAUUUCAUCCAUUUUUAUUGUUAAAAACUUGUGUGAGUGAUGGAAUAACCAGAUAGUUACAAGUGACAUGCCACGUGUACAUCAUGAAGACGUAUAAGGACCAAUUUUUAACAUUAAAAUAGAUAGAAAUUUUAACU